GCAAAGGUGUGGUGAUCUUCCUCAGGCCAGUGGUUCUUUAAGUUUAUUCUAUCAGUGCUCUGGCUGCGUCGGUGGGUUAUUACGACGUCUGCAAAGUCCAGUACACUUGCAGUUUAGUUGCUCACUGCAACUUACACUUGCUUUGCUGAUAGCUAUUUUUCCUAUUGUGUCAUUUGUGCUUUAUUUGAGUUGAGAGCGAGUGGCCGCUAUGUGCUGUUGAUCAAGACCAAGAGGU